rnacentral:rRNA from 1 species
AUUGAACGCUGGCGGCAGGCCUAGCACAUGCAAGUCGAGCGGAUGAAGGGAGCUUGCUCCUGGAUUCAGCGGCGGACGGGUGAGUAAUGCCUAGGAAUCUGCCUGGUAGUGGGGGAUAACGUCCGGAAACGGGCGCUAAUACCGCAUACGUCCUGAGGGAGAAAGUGGGGGAUCUUCGGACCUCACGCUAUCAGAUGAGCCUAGGUCGGAUUAGCUAGUUGGUGGGGUAAAGGCCUACCAAGGCGACGAUCCGUAACUGGUCUGAGAGGAUGAUCAGUCACACUGGAACUGAGACACGGUCCAGACUCCUACGGGAGGCAGCAGUGGGGAAUAUUGGACAAUGGGCGAAAGCCUGAUCCAGCCAUGCCGCGUGUGUGAAGUAGGUCUUCGGAUUGUAAAGCACUUUAAGUUGGGAGGAAGGGCAGUAAGUUAAUACCUUGCUGUUUUGACGUUACCAACAGAAUAAGCACCGGCUAACUUCGUG